AAUUUCAUUAUGCAAAUGAUUAUUAUUUUUCUCCGAGAAUGUUACAAUGACAUCUGCACAUCGUCGCUUCUUAUCUCCCAGCCGCCACCUGCAUAGGGCACACUCCGACCAUGCAACCGCCAAGGUCGCCGACCACAUCGUGCACGUCCACGCCAUCGACCUCGGCGGACGGUGCCGCAAUGUUCGUCAGUAUGUCCUGUUGGUUGAGGAGCGCGAAGGAAGUGGGCUGAGGGAAGUGGGGGCGGCGGCAGAAGCAGCAUGGGUGUCCUACGGUGAGCGCUUUGAGGGAUUCUGCAGAGCAGUUCUCCCCGGAGGCCUGAUGCAUCCAACCGUACAAGGAAACUUGAAAACUACACCACAACUCUUAGGCUUGCCAAAAUAUGAGGAUUAUCACUCAGUCAUGAGCGAAACUGGAUGUACCCGGUAAGGAUGGAGGCGAGAUGGGGCCAUAGAGCCCCCUUUUGCGCAGGAGGGAGUAUGUCUGAGCCGAAGGCAACAAUUGUGGCCGCUUCCAGAGCCGAAGCCACCUGCGGAGUCAAUGUCAUGGUCGCCCCAGAGCGGAAUCCAUCGCCUAGGCCACAAGAGUAGGAGCUGCUGUCGCGGAGGUCAUCUCUGAACCUAUACUGAACUUUCUAUGGAUGGUAAGAUGUCCUCCCUCAAUCUUCUAGCAGCCGGUGCUCGUUGGCCUCUCCUCACUAUUCAGCUGUUGAUUGUAUGAAAUAGAUGGUUAACACUUUAUUUUGUUGGUCCCUACUGGACGGUAGUGAUGUUGAGACACAAGAGAUUAUCAUGCCUAUGCAUAUAUAUAAAAUUGUUCAUGGAUCUUUCUUAUCUCUGAUAUAAUUUUGCCAAUGAUCAAAGAACUGUUGUUCUGGAUGUACACCUAUUGUGUUGCUUAUUUUGCCAUCACUCUUCUGGUUUACCUUAGGAGUAGUACCAAUCUUAUAAAAUGCUCCUAAUUUGGGUAAAAUUUGGAAACAUUAUGGAUGGAUAAAUUUAUGGACUUGUUCCUUUAUUACAUAAUUUUAUAGCCUAUGAUCUUAUACAGUUGAGGGCCGCUUAUCCUAUUCUUUAUGUGUGAAGUUAAAAGCUAAAUAUAGCUAAUGACAUAAGUGAUCUAUUAAAAUAUAUCACGGAAGUAAGUACUUAUUUUUGUUUCUACUUAUUACCUAAUUUUAAUGUGAAUUUUUCAAAGACAUACAGUGUUCCAUAUAGUCUAAUUUAAUAUACCAGCGAUGAUGGUAUUGAAUCCGCGAAGAAAAUAUAUACUCAUUUCCUAAUUGCAUAUUUUAAUCAGGAGGUCAAGACCAAGCUUUAGGCAGGAAAAUGGGACAAUCUUCAGUAAGCUACAAUGUUCAUGUCUUCUUAUAUCAUUUGACUGAUGUGUUCUUGUAUCAUUCUUCUACUUUCGGAGCUAUUACUGCGAUCAUUUUGACCUCAUGUCUUCUUAUAUCAUUUGACCUUAUCUAGAUAUUAGUGGUUCUUAAUCCAGCAAGGUCUUGAAUAUUUUUCGCUUUGUCCAUUCAAAAUUUUGUUCUUCUAGCAACGUUCAUGGUUUAAGCUUUGAUUCGAAAAACAACUUUCAAUUUUAUAGGAGACACAAAGAGCAACAACAAGCCGCUGUAGAUAUUAUGUAGUAGCAGCAUUAAAGAUCUGCUAAUGUUAUAUUUUCUUAUUCUUUCCUUAAUAUCUACAUGACCAACGUGUAUUUUUAAUGAUCAAACAUGCACAUGUCACAUUAAGAGGUUGAGAGUAGCUCAAAAGAUAUGCAUACAUCCUCUACCUUUUACCUAAUGAAAUAUUUCUAAAGCCAUAGUAGAUGUCAGGUGUAAAUUCCAUGAAGAACUGUUGGUUUUUGUAAUUAUUUCGUGAAACUUUCAUUGUAGGGUUCUAGGUUUGGUGAAUAAGCAGGGUUGUCUUCUUUCUUUAGUAUCUGCAUGAUCAAGUCGGUCUGUACUUUUAAUGAUCAUACCUGCACAUGUCACAUUAAGAUUGAAUAUAUUGUGACUUUUCUAACCAUUUCUUGUUAAUUGCUUGAGGAAAAACUAACAGGAAUUUUUUUCUUAGAAAUCCCAAGGAAGUAAUUGUUCUCACUGUUUUGGUAAAAUAACAUAUAUUUUUGUUGUAUGUAUACUUAAUUUCAGGAGAUGUAGAUUUUCUUGUUAUCUUAUAUAUGUUCCUUUUCUUUUUUUUUUCUUGUGAAAAAUGAGUUCAACAAGGGCUCCUCAUUCUAGCCUCCUGGGGUUGAAAUGAUUACUCCUUUAAUUGAUUUGAAGAUUGUUAAUUUUUUAUAUUUGGAAACGCUUGGAAGCUUUCCUUUGUUUUGGCGUUAUGAAGAUCUUAUGCUGCAGGGAGAUUUCACCGAUGCCACAAAGAUGCUGCUGCAUCGAACGCAUAGGAUAAGAUGAUAUUAAGAUGCCAAAUAGCAGGUUGCUUCAAACCAGGGGAACUGACUGGUUCAUAGAUGGUAGAACGUUCAAUCUUCGACGAUGCUCAGGGAGCAAACAAGGGGAAUUAGGGAAAAGUAUAUUUUUCAUCCCUGGACUCGCUCAAAAGUAUAGAAAUGAUCCUUCAACUUUAAAACCGGCAAAUUCAGCACCCACGUGGGAAUCUUCUUCUUUUCCAUUUUAACUCGGCUGGGCAUUUCGUCGAGCAGUUGGCGCCACCAGGCAACAAGAGGAAGAGGUAGGCAUGGAGCUUGCGUGGCUAUCGGCGGCGCACGCAAAGGGUGCAGGAGGCCAGGGAGCUGCGCUACAGUUAGUUUUCUGGGACGAGCGGGGCUGUCGCGGCUAGCAGCACUGAGGCACGCGGCGGCUUGGCCUUCACGGCGAACUCGUAACACAGUCACAACUAACUGAUGCUCGUGUUGCCGCCUCGUGCUCAUGGUAUGCCUCUGCAAUUGUCGGCGACCGCGCCGUUGAUGUCCCCGCGUCAUCCAGUUCUCGUUCAAAUCCAUCACUUGCGUGAUGUGGGUCGUGGACAUGGCGCGGACAACGGCGCGACGGCGGGGCGCACGCUUGUCGCCGCUCCAGCGCCGUCAGCCGCACCCGCUUCGGCGGCUCGCCCGGUUUGCCGUUGUUGCUCGGCCACACAUGGGCGAUGACUGGUGAAACCAUGCAAGUCAGCGUGAAAACCACUUUUGUUAAAUCAAAGGACUCGAGUUAUCUGGUUUAAAGAAUUGAGGGACUAAGUUUUGCUGGUUUUGAAGUUAAGGGACCGUUUCUAUACCUUCGAGAGAGUUUAGGGAUGAAAAAUAUACUUUUCCCGA